UUGGUCAUUUAGAGGAAGUAAAAGUCGUAACAAGGUCUCCGUUGGUGAACCAGCGGAGGGAUCAUUACCGAGUUUACAACUCCCAAACCCCUGUGAACAUACCUAUACGUUGCCUCGGCGGAUCAGCCCGCGCCCCGUAAAACGGGACGGCCCGCCCGAGGACCCCUAAACUCUGUUUUUAGUGGAACUUCUGAGUAAAACAAACAAAUAAAUCAAAACUUUCAACAACGGAUCUCUUGGUUCUGGCAUCGAUGAAGAACGCAGCAAAAUGCGAUAAGUAAUGUGAAUUGCAGAAUUCAGUGAAUCAUCGAAUCUUUGAACGCACAUUGCGCCCGCCAGUAUUCUGGCGGGCAUGCCUGUUCGAGCGUCAUUUCAACCCUCAAGCUCAGCUUGGUGUUGGGACUCGCGGUAACCCGCGUUCCCCAAAUCGAUUGGCGGUCACGUCGAGCUUUCAUAGCGUAGUAAUCAUACACCUCGUUACUGGUAAUCGUCGCGGCCACGCCGUAAAACCCCAACUUCUGAAUGUUGACCUCGGAUCAGGUAGGAAUACCCGCUGAACUUAAGCAUAUCAAUAAG
rnacentral:rRNA from 1 species